ACGGUGUUCUUGAUUUUAUUA
rnacentral:siRNA from 1 species